GCCUACGGGGGGCAGCAGUAGGGAAUCUUCCACAAUGGGCGAAAGCCUGAUGGAGCAACGCCGCGUGGGUGAAGAAGGUCUUCGGAUCGUAAAACCCUGUUGUUAGAGAAGAAAGUGCGUGAGAGUAACUGUUCACGUUUCGACGGUAUCAAACCAGAAAGCCACGGCUAACUACGUGCCAGCAGCCGCGGUAAUACGUAGGUGGCAAGCGUUAUCCGGAUUUAUUGGGCGUAAAGGGAACGCCGGCGGUCUUUUAAGUCUGAUGUGAAAGCCUUCGGCUUAACCGGAGGAGUGCAUUGGAAACG
rnacentral:rRNA from 1 species